CAGCCGCCGCGGUAAAACGGAGGGUGCAAGCGUUAAUCGGAAUUACUGGGCGUAAAGCGCACGCAGGCGGUCUGACAAGUCAGAUGUGAAAUCCCCGGGCUUAACCUGGGAACUGCAUUUGAAACUGUCAGGCUGGAGUCUUGUAGAGGGGGGUGGAAUUCCAGGUGUAGCGGUGAAAUGCGUAGAGAUCUGGAGGAAUACCGGUGGCGAAGGCGGCCCCCUGGACAAAGACUGACGCUCAGGUGCGAAAGCGUGGGGAGCAAACAGGAUUAGAGACCCCAGUAGUCCCUGUCUCUUAUAC
rnacentral:rRNA from 1 species